rnacentral:rRNA from 1 species
ACUCCUACGGGAGGCAGCAGUAGGGAAUCUUCCACAAUGGGCGCAAGCCUGAUGGAGCAACACCGCGUGAGUGAAGAAGGGUUUCGGCUCGUAAAGCUCUGUUGUUAAAGAAGAACACGUAUGAGAGUAACUGUUCAUACGUUGACGGUAUUUAACCAGAAAGUCACGGCUAACUACGUGCCAGCAGCCGCGGUAAUACGUAGGUGGCAAGCGUUAUCCGGAUUUAUUGGGCGUAAAGAGAGUGCAGGCGGUUUUCUAAGUCUGAUGUGAAAGCCUUCGGCUUAACCGGAGAAGUGCAUCGGAAACUGGAUAACUUGAGUGCAGAAGAGGGUAGUGGAACUCCAUGUGUAGCGGUGGAAUGCGUAGAUAUAUGGAAGAACACCAGUGGCGAAGGCGGCUACCUGGUCUGCAACUGACGCUGAGACUCGAAAGCGAUGGGGUAGCGAACAGGAUUAGAUACCCUGGUAGGAUAGCG